rnacentral:lncRNA from 1 species
CCUAAGCCAACACCUUGUCCACCACCAUCAUCAACACCAAAACCACCACAUGUUCCAAAACCACCUCAUUACCCUAAACCACCAAUAGUUCAUCCACCUCAUGUUCCAAAACCACCAGUUGUGAAACCACCAAUAGUUCAUCCACCUUAUGUUCCAAAACCACCGGUGCAUCCACCUUAUGUGCCAAAACCACCAGUGCAUCCACCUUAUGUCCCAAAACCACCAGCUGUGAAGCCACCUUAUGUUCCUAAACCACCAGUUGUCCCAGUAACACCACCAUAUGUUCCUAAACCACCCGUUGUGAAACCACCAAUUGUUUAUCCACCCCAUGUUCCGGUUCCUCUUCCUCCGGUAGUACCAAUAACACCACCUUAUGUACCAACACCACCAAUUGUGAAACCACCAAUUGUUUUUCCACCACAUGUUCCUGUUCCUAUUCCUCCUUUUCCUCCCGUUGUACCAAUAACACCACCAUAUGUUCCAACACCACCGAUUAUCACACCGCCAACACCAACACCACCAGUAGUUACUCCACCAACGGUACCUGUACCAAGCCCAC